rnacentral:tRNA from 1 species
ACCUGGGUGGCUCAGUUGGUUGGGCGUCCAACUUCGGCUCAGGUCAUGAUCUCACAUCCGUGGGUUCGAGCCCCACCUCGGGCU